ACCAGAACAAGUCACAGGCAGACUAUGGCGCAGAAGUUUGUUUUUGUAGACUGUGGGUAAAGGAAAAUGACUUGUUUGCCACUUGCUGGACUUAUGGGGUAGGACUCCAGGUGGCUGGUGACUUCAGAUGCUAAUGACUGUGAAGACAAAGGCAUCUUCACAUGCACAGUCUGCAAUGGACAAGUCCACAACCAGCUGGAAGGGUGUUGGGACCACAGCGAGCACGCUGAGCUGACUUAGGUAACCAAGAACUCAGACUCUAGAUCAAACUCCGGUUUCAUGGCGAAGCACCUCUAGCAGCUGAGGCGUAUCUCACUGGUUCCAGACUCCUCCUCUUCAUUCCAAUAUGUCUGCCCUCUGAUUCUCCGACUAUAGAAACUCCCUCCCAUGAGCCUAUCCUUCCUCGGGAUGCUACAAUGCUGCCUCUCCUCAUCUUCAGUGAAAUCCCCUAAGUGUGUGGAGUAAGGUUGGAUUAUAUUCCAUGUGUAGGAAUGGCAGACAUUUUUUUUGUUGUUGUUGUUGUUGUUUUUGGUUUUUCGAGACAGGGUUUCUCUGUGUCACCCUGGCUGUCCUGGAACUCACUCUGUAGACCAGGCUGGCCUCGAACUCAGAAAUCUGCCUGCCUCUGCCUCCCAGAGUGCUGGGAUUACAGGCGUGCGCCACCACUGCCCGGCUAUUUUUUGUUUUUUGUUUUUUUUACAAAAUUUCAAGCAAGAGUGUACUGUACACUGAGCCCCUCCCUCCCUUUUCUGCCCCUCCCCAUUAUCUUUGCUCACCAAGGCAGCUUCAACCCAAUUCCAUGUAGUAUUUACAUACAUGAUCCUGCAUAUCAAAUGUAGAAAUCACAAACUGGAGAAAACAUGAUAGUUGUUCAGAGACUUGCUUAAUUUGAUGAACACUAAUGUCCUAGCCUUUUUGGGAGGGGUGCUCAAGACAGGGUUUCUCUGUGUAACCCUGGCUAUCCUGGCACUCUCUGUAGAUCAGGCUGGCCUUGAACUCAGAAAUCUGCCUCCCUCUGCCUCCCAAGUGCUAGGAUUAAAGGUGUGCACCACCACUGCCCAGCUAAUGUCCUAGCUUUAAUCGCCAACUUAACAUAACCCUGAGUCACCUGAGAAGGGAAUCUUAGUUGAGAUAUUCUAGAAUAAUUAGACUAGAAUAAUUACCUAGUUCUUACUGGUCUAUGGGCAUAUCUAUGGGGGACUAAUUUAAAGCCUGUGUUCUAGGAGGUUCCAGCCCACUAUGGGCGGUACCUUUCCCUGUGUAGGCGGUCUUGGUCUGUAUCGAAAGCUACUUAAGCAUACACAGUUAUACCAGUGAGCAAGCAGCUGACUCGGUGGUUUCUGCUGAACUUUCUUGGCUUUGAACAAGUCCCCGGGUUAGAGGUGAUGCUGUGUGGAGGCGUGAGCAGACCCACCUUCAAGUCCUGCUGGAAUUCUUGCCCAGAAUUCCCUCAGUGACAGACUGUGACCUCAUGAUGAUGCAAACCCUUUCCUCCCCUAAGCUGUUUUUGGUUAUGGUGUUUGUCACAGUAACAGAAAAGAGACUAGAGCUAUUGUUAUCUUCAAUUAUAUUCACUUUC